CAGUAGCCACGGGAACACGAAGGGUGCAAGCGUUACUCGGAAUUACUGGGCGUAAAGCGUGCGUAGGUGGUGGUUUAAGUCCGUUGUGAAAGCCCUGGGCUCAACCUGGGAAUUGCAGUGGAUACUGGGUCACUAGAGUGUGGUAGAGGAUAGUGGAAUUUCCGGUGUAGCAGUGAAAUGCGUAGAGAUCGGAAGGAACAUCUGUGGCGAAGGCGACUAUCUGGGCCAACACUGACACUGAGGCACGAAAGCGUGGGGAGCAAACAGGAUUAGAUACCCGCGUAGUCCCUGUCUCUUAUAU
rnacentral:rRNA from 1 species